rnacentral:rRNA from 1 species
UACGAAGGGGGCGAGCGUUGUUCGGAAUUACUGGGCGUAAAGGGCGCGUAGGCGGCCGAUCAAGUCAGAUGUGAAAGUCCUGGGCUUAACCUGGGGACUGCAUUUGAAACUCCCUUUCUUGAGUGUCGGAGAGGAAAGCGGAAUUCCUGGUGUAGAGGUGAAAUUCGUAGAUAUCAGGAGGAACACCGGUGGCGAAGGCGGCUUUCUGGACGACAACUGACGCUGAGACGCGAAAGCGUGGGGAGCAAACAGG